rnacentral:rRNA from 1 species
UACGGAGGGGGCUAGCGUUGUUCGGAAUUACUGGGCGUAAAGCGUGCGCAGGCGGUUUCGUAAGUCUGUCGUGAAAGCCCCGGGCUCAACCUGGGAAUUGCGAUGGAGACUGCGAGGCUAGAGUGUGUCAGAGGGGGGUAGAAUUCCACGUGUAGCAGUGAAAUGCGUAGAUAUGUGGAGGAACACCGAUGGCGAAGGCAGCCCCCUGGGAUAACACCGACGCUCAUGCACGAAAGCGUGGGGAGCAAACAGG